GUUUUUUGUUGCUGAUCACGAAGGAGAGAAGGAGUUCCUAGCUUUGAAUGUGUAGAUCAGGUACUCCAGAAAGAACAUCUGACAUUUCAAGAGACAUAGGAACAAUCCUAAGCUGUCUUAGCAGGUUCUUAAUUUAAAGCACCUAAGAAGCAGUAUACCAUACAGAAGAUUGCAGGAAAACCAAAAGAAAUUGACAAACUAUUGGAGCAUGCAUUGAUGACGUGAUCAUCUUCUUGGAUGGCUGGCCUGCAUCAAAUGCCUCAGUGAAGCAAGGUUUGUGGCUGAAACCAUCCGAUCUCUAGUGUUAUCUCGCUCAUCAGAGGCUUAGCAUGAGCUGUUUAACCUACAUUCUUUUGCCUUUUUUUUUGGUGGAUCUGCUUCUUGACAGAGAAGCCCUGGAUUCCAAUGUUGUAGCUCACCAGUCUGCCAUCGUUAUGAAUGUUUGCUCAUAUAUUUUCCUUUUGCACUAUCUACAAGUGUCCAUUGCUCUUCAUGAAGACCAUCUCAAUUACAUCAGGAAGACAUUAGACAGCAAUAGAAAUUGCAUUUGGUCCCUUUGUAUCCGCAGUUGACAAUUCAGGAAUAAGUUUCAUUGCCAUGGUUGCUGGUUCCCAAGUUUGUUCCUGUUGAUUCAAUUUUUUUGUCAGCUUGGCAAAGUUUUGAAUUAGACUUAUCAGUUAUAUACAUGGUAGGUGUUAAGAGAAUAUAAGUUUCUU